rnacentral:rRNA from 1 species
UGGAACUGAGACACGGUCCAGACACAUAACGGGUGGCAGCAGUUUCGAAUCAUUCACAAUGGGCGAAAGCCUGAUGGUGCGACGCCGCGUGAGGGAUGAAGGUCUUCGGAUUGUAAACCUCUGUCACUAGGGAGAAAACGCUUUGAGUUAACAGUUCAAAGCCUGAUUUAACCUGGAGAGGAAGCAGUGGCUAACUCUGUGCCAGCAGCCGCGGUAAUACAGAGACUGCAAGCGUUAUUCGGAUUCACUGGGCGUAAAGGGUGCGCAGGCGGCCGUGUGUGUAAGGUGUGAAAUCCCGGGGCUCAACCCCGGAACUGCGCCUUAAACUACAUGGCGUAAGAGUAUUGGAGAGG